CGAAGAUUAACGGCGCACAUGGUA
rnacentral:siRNA from 1 species